GACGAACGCUGGCGGCGUGCCUAAUACAUGCAAGUAGAACGCUGAAGGAGGAGCUUGCUUCUCUGGAUGAGUUGCGAACGGGUGAGUAACGCGUAGGUAACCUGCCUGGUAGCGGGGGAUAACUAUUGGAAACGAUAGCUAAUACCGCAUAAGAGUAGAUGUUGCAUGACAUUUACUUAAAAGGUGCAAUUGCAUCACUACCAGAUGGACCUGCGUUGUAUUAGCUAGUUGGUGAGGUAACGGCUCACCAAGGCAACGAUACAUAGCCGACCUGAGAGGGUGAUCGGCCACACUGGGACUGAGACACGGCCCAGACUCCUACGGGAGGCAGCAGUAGGGAAUCUUCGGCAAUGGACGGAAGUCUGACCGAGCAACGCCGCGUGAGUGAAGAAGGUUUUCGGAUCGUAAAGCUCCGUUGUAAGAGAAGAACGAGUGUGAGAGUGGAAAGUUCACACUGUGACGGUAUCUUACCAGAAAGGGACGGCUAACUACGUG
rnacentral:rRNA from 1 species